GAUGGAACCAGCAUUCACAAAUUUGGCGUCGAAUAGGAAUGACAUGUCACAUUAUGCCAUGAUUGUGGAGCAAAUUGAGGCUUGAUUGCUUGCUGUAAAUUGUUUUCUAUGCUUAUUGUUUAUCUCUAUAGUCCUAAACAGGGGAGAGGGUUCAGCAGAGGCAGCGUUUACUCCAAAGUACUGAGAUGGAUUUGUAGGUGAAAAACUAAAUGAUUGAAAACAGUUUUCAGACAUUUUUCUGAAAUGUUGAUGUUUCUGGGACAACUUCACCUGCUUCUAAAGUCAGUGGAGAGGAACAGAAAAAGUCAUCAGCUGUUCAUCUACACCUGUGAGGCUGAGUGAACCUGUGCAUGCUGGUACGCCUGCGAGUAUAAAAAUCUGGCAUUUAGCCGAGUCCUCGCCGCUCACUGUGCUUCCUGUCCCCGGCCAUCGCCUCAGAAAUAGUCGUCCGUGUCUCUUGGCACCACAGCGUGAAUUGGCCGAAAUAAUACAACAGUUAAGUUGCCAGAUAUGAUCAAAACGGGGAUCAUGAAACCCUGACACCGUGUCACCAGGAAGGGACCAGAACCUGCAUCUGACAUCCGCAGUUACAUCAGGCUGUCCUGGUGCGGCUCCUCAGCAGCUUUCCCUGUCGGAUGAUUCAGGAGUGCGGCGUUGAUGCCGAGAAACGCUGCGACAGAUUCCCUCUGCUCUAAUUUCUGGGACGAUGAAAGGCUUGGCAGCUCUCCCUGCUGGAUUCCCGGUUCAUCUAAACUUCAUCGCAUUAAACUGUGUUUGCAGGAAUUUUAGAAUAACUAAGACAUUGUUCAGCUGCAGAUGAGCCGACAUAGAUUAAAUGAUGAGUCGGUAAAGCAAAGCGAUGAAUAACACAGCUGAACUCAAACAUGUUUUUAUUACACAAGGCAGAAAAACUAUUAAAAACUUACUCAGACUUUCAAACCAUUGAUAUACCGUUAAAUUACACUUAUUAUAAUUUGACAAAUUUCAGUCCACAAGUUUCUUGCGAACCACUUUGUGGUAGCAGAUAUAUAAUUUUAUACCCAUCAUACUGUGCCAACUAAAAAUAUUUUAGAGGAUCCAAUUAAAUUAGGAUUUUUUUGUGCCAAAAGGUCCAAGGAAAACAUUUUUUACUCUAAUUAAUGAACCAGUGUUGUGUCUAAGCAACCAGGUCUCACACCAUCUAUUUUUUUUAACUACCCCCUUAUUACACGGCAGAAUCAGAACUGAUUUGUAUUUAUGUUUUUGAGUUUUAAGGAUUAAAAAAAAAACAUUACAACU